rnacentral:rRNA from 1 species
GAGGUUAAGCGACUAAGCGUACACGGUGGAUGCCCUGGCAGUCAGAGGCGAUGAAGGACGUGCUAAUCUGCGAUAAGCGCCGGUAAGGUGAUAUGAACCGUUAUAACCGGCGAUUUCCGAAUGGGGAAACCCAGUGUGACUCGUCACACUAUCAUUAACUGAAUCCAUAGGUUAAUGAGGCGAACCGGGGGAACUGAAACAUCUAAGUACCCCGAGGAAAAGAAAUCAACCGAGAUUCCCCCAGUAGCGGCGAGCGAACGGGGAGGAGCCCAGAGCCUGAAUCAGCAUGUGUGUUAGUGGAAGCGUCUGGAAAGGCGCGCGAUACAGGGUGACAGCCCCGUACACAAAAGCGCAUGUGCUGUGAGCUCGAUGAGUAGGGCGGGACACGUGGUAUCCUGUCUGAAUAUGGGGGGACCAUCCUCCAAGGCUAAAUACUCCUGACUGACCGAUAGUGAACCAGUACCGUGAGGGAAAGGCGAAAAGAACCCCGGCGAGGGGAGUGAAAAAGAACCUGAAACCGUGUA